UUUACGGGAGGCAGCAGUGGGGAAUAUUGCACAAUGGAGGAAACUCUGAUGCAGCAAUGUCGCGUGAGUGAAGAAGGCCCUUGGGUCGUAAAGCUCUUUUAUGGGGGAAGAUGAUGACGGUACCCCAAGAAUAAGCACCGGCUAACUAUGUGCCAGCAGCCGCGGUAAU
rnacentral:rRNA from 1 species